AGCGGCGGACGGGUGAGGAACACGUAGGAACUUACCCUUUAGAGGGGGAUAACCAAGGGAAACUUCGGCUAAUACCGCAUAAACUCGGAAGAGCAAAGCUGCCGUAAGGUGGCGCUAAAGGAGAGGCCUGCGUCCGAUUAGCUAGUUGGUGAGGUAAGAGCUCACCAAGGCGAUGAUCGGUAACUGGUCUGAGAGGACGACCAGUCACACUGGGACUGAGACACGGCCCAGACUCCUACGGGAGGCAGCAGUGGGGAAUAUUGGACAAUGGGGGCAACCCUGAUCCAGCGAUGCCGCGUGAGUGAAGAAGGCCUUCGGGUCGUAAAGCUCUUUAGGUUGGGAAGAAGUUUAGUUGAGGAUAAUUCAGCUAGAUUGACGGUACCGACAGAAUAAGCACCGGCAAACUCUGUGCCAGCAGCCGCGGUAAUACAGAGGGUGCGAGCGUUAAUCGGAAUUACUGGGCGUAAAGGGCGCGUAGGCGGUUUUAUGUGUGUGAUGUAAAAGCCCCGGGCUUAACCUGGGAAGAGCAUCGCA
rnacentral:rRNA from 1 species